UAUCUUGAAAUGAUAAAAUUCAUGGAUAUCAAAAUCUGCACUCUAUAUAAUGCACUUUCCACAUAUAUAGAACGUAUGUCAAUACUACUGCUAACACUAAGAAACUAGUCAAAUACAGUUUCAAAUGCUCUAAGAGUGGACUGCUCAGAAGUACUUGUCGCUAGAAUGACAAAGCAUGAGCAUGUAUACAACUAACAAAUC
rnacentral:lncRNA from 1 species